CAUUCUUAUUCUUCUUUCUUUCUCUUUCUUCUUCUUCUUCUUUUCAUUCUUCUCAUCUUUUCAUCACCUGGUUGAGAUUUGAGAGAACAAAUCGAUGUUUCUACGAUCGGAAAAAGGUGGGAAAUAUCAUAGCGUGUCUGUUGGUGGUGAUAUUGAUUUGUUGUGAGGAGAAGAAGAAUUUGUAUCUAAAGUGAAUCAGGGGAACCAAGUUAGGGUUUGUGGAUUGAUCUUUGGAUUCGUGUGGAAUUAUUAUGUUGACUGAGUUGUUGGUAGAUGAAGAUUAAGAGGGUUGUUGUUUAAUUGCUGAGAUGAAGUAGUUUUGAAGAUGAAUCAAGAAUUAGGGUUUCAUAAGAUGAAUCGGAGAAGCAUUGGAAGAGGAAAUUAAAGUGAAGGGGAUUGAAUUAAUGAUGGGUUUAUUCUUGAUUGAAGUAUAUUUGGAUGUUUUGGGGCUGUGUUGGUGGUGAAUCGAAUUAGGGUUUGUUUCUAUUUGAAGGAAGAUUAUUAGGUAUUGGCUGUGAUAAACGCAUGGUUUAGGGAGGAGAUGAUGUUGAAUGAAUUGAGUUAGUGGGUUGCUGUAGUUUUAAGAAGAAUUGAAGAAUCGAUUCAAACAAGAAGAUUAGUUGAUCUCAUUUUGCCGGAAUGGAAUUUAAGGUAAUUGUUCUUUCUCAGUAACUAGGUAAGGUGAUUCAAGUUCAUUAUUGAGUUAAUAGGUUUGUUGAUGAAUUAAGAAUUAUGAAAGAUAUCUGGGUAUGCAAGGAAGUUGUACAGAUACUUAUGAUGAAUUACAGGGAAUUAGUAUAAAUGAAGAUGAGUACAUGGUUUGAGUUUUUAGUACUGUAUGAAUGUGAACUACAGGGAAGAGGAAGAGAUGUUGUUUCUACUGAGUCUUGAACACUCAGAGUUAGAAGAAUGUCAAGUUGAGUACAUAUGGUAGUUUUUGAGAAGAGUGUGUUUAAAGGUGAAUAUGAAUUGAUGCAGGUGAAGAUUUUGGAGUGAACUGCUAGUGUUCAGUGUAUAAAAAUGGAGAUGGUUUGGUAUUGGGAUGAAUGGUGUUUGUAAUAGAAAAACUGAGUUGUUGUUGUUGAAGUUGAUUGAGGUUAACUGAGUGCAGGUUGUUUGAGUCUGAGAUUUGGUUGGUAUGAAGAUGGUGGAUCUAAAGUGACUAAGUUGAGUUAUGGUGAUUACACUGUGAUGAAUAAAAUUUCCAGUUUGGUAGUGUUGGUGCUAGUAUUAUGUUUGCAAGGCAAUUAGAAGUGAAGUGUAUUCAAAUGGGAGUUGUAGUUGAGGUUUGAGUGUUAUUUGAGUUGUGGAGCUUAAUGAGAGAUUAAGUGGAGGCUUGCUUAGGACUGCAAUUGCAGUUUCAGAGACAGAUUAGAGUUGCGCUGCGAAAGCUUCGAGGAGUUGAGUCCGUUAGUUGGUUAACUUCUGAUAUGUUUAUUAUGCUGUAUAUUCUAUUUGUAAACCAAAUAACUAUUGUAUAUGUAUCAUUUGUGAGAAGUUAUUGUAUAUAAACAUUUCUGAGCGGGGCUAGUUUUGGGUUAAGUUAUGUAGUAGAUUUCUUAUUUGAAUGUUUAAGUAAAUGAUUUCUUA